rnacentral:rRNA from 1 species
CCUACGGGUGGCAGCAGUGAGGAAUAUUGGUCAAUGGCCGGAAGGCUGAACCAGCCAAGUCGCGUGAGGGACGACUGCCCUAUGGGUUGUAAACCUCUUUUAUAAGGGAAGAAUAAAUGCUACGUGUAGCAUGAUGCCUGUACCUUAUGAAUAAGCAUCGGCUAACUCCGUGCCAGCAGCCGCGGUAAUACGGAGGAUGCGAGCGUUAUCCGGAUUUAUUGGGUUUAAAGGGUGCGUAGGCGGUUUUUUAAGUUAGUGGUUAAACGUCGGGGCUUCACCUUGAUUUGCCAUUAAUACUGUAAGACUCGAGUUCAGACGAGGUAGGCGGAAUAAGUUAAGUAGCGGUGAAAUGCUUAGAUAUCACGCAGAACUCCGAUUGCGAAGGCAGCUUACUAAGCCAUAACUGACACUGAAGCACGAAAGCGUGGGGAUCAAACAGGAUUAGAUACCCGAGUAGUC